rnacentral:lncRNA from 1 species
GCAUAACUAUGUAUAGUGAUGCCAUUUAUGAAGACAUAAAUGAAUGGGGAGGAAUGUGUUUACACAGUAGUGGAAUUAGAAAUGCACAUAUGAAAUACCCAAGUGAAAUGUCAUAGAAGAAGUGUUUCAUAAGUCUGGAACUCAGUGAAGAGAUUUGUUUUAAAAUUCUAUAUUUGAGGGAUAUUGCACAGAGAAUGACUUGGGGAAUCUGCCCCCAUAAGAGGGCUAAAAAGAAAGCAUAGCCUCAAAUGAUGCAUCCAGCAAUCCAAAGUUUGGUGAUCUCCAGUCACAGAGUAUUUAUCCUCAUGUUCAAAUCUUUUUCUUUCAUCUUCAUUAUUCAAUCCUUUUUAUCUUCUCCAGGAUCUAACUCAGUAUUUCAUAUCCAUUUGCUAUAAAUAUUAUAAAAUUCCUGUAAAAUAAAUGCUAUGAUUUGUUGUAUAUGUGUAAGUAACAAAAUCCAGAGAGGUUAGUUGACCUGUUACCAAUCUUCUAAAUUGUAUUUUCUGCUUCCAAGACUUUUGACCUACUUUAUUUCCCCUAAAUUAUUUUUAUGCCCAUCAAUGGUGGGAUGUGGGGUAUCACUUCUGAUUGCUUUGCUGCUCAUUUCCUCUUGGAGUGCAGUCUGGCCCUUUCCAGACAGAUAUCCAAAGAGAUUGCAUGAAGCCUCCUUCCAGGUGACCCUAAUAAUUUCCUAAAGACAAUGAUGCCAUUAGUGACAAACAACAUUAAAAAUUUAAGCAGAAGAUAAAUGAAUUUAUCCUGAGAUACUAGGAGACUCACAAAAUUUCCCAGGAGGACCUGCAAGUCAGUCUCACAAGAUGCUCAUAAAGAAUAAUGUCCAAACCUACACAGCAAACCCAGGCUGAUGAAGAUAACACAAACUCUCCACUGAUCAUGGAUACCCUCGCCUGCAUCAUUGACAGACACUUGUAAUGCUGGACAGUGGAUGCUUUCACUAGAACUGCUGCUGUAAAAAGAUAUAUCAGCUAUCAUUGCCACUUCUCAUUGCUAGAGUUACCCCUUUGGGUCUUACCACCUUCUUCAUUAAGUAUUGAGACCAUGAUCCUGCAACCUGUACACUUGGAAAAAUGAGAAUUCAUACCCCAUUUGAAUCAAAUGUAUGAUAUGU